CCUACGGGAGGCAGCAGUGGGGGAUAUUGGACAAUGGGGGGAACCCUGGUCCAGCGACGCCGCGUGAGUGAAGAAGUAUUUCGGUAUGUAAAGCUCUGUCAGUAGGGAAGAAAGAAAUGACGGUACCUGACCAAGAAGCCCCGGCUAACUACGUGCCAGCAGCCGCGGUAAUACGUAGGGGGCAAGCGUUAUCCGGAAUUACUGGGUGUAAAGGGAGCGUAGACGGUUAAGUAAGUCUGAAGUGAAAGCCCGAGGCUCAACCACGGGACUGCUUUUGGAACUACAUGGCUUGAUUGCAGGAGAGG
rnacentral:rRNA from 1 species